UCUCUCAUGGCUCAGUCGGUAAAGAAUCUGCCUGUAAUGCAGGAGACCCGGGUUUGAUUCCUGGGUGGGGAA
rnacentral:tRNA from 1 species